UAACCAUACAAUACGGUUUGAUAGAAUCUAAGCCUGUCACUGCAAUACUAUCAAAUAAAAAAAGACGCGACCAAUAUAUGAUUUGAGAUUAUUUUUUAAAAGUAUAAAUAAAAAUAAUAUAAAAAAUUAAAAUAUAUUAUAAAAAAUAAAUUGAGAUCUCUAUUUAAAAGUUGUGAAUUAAAUGAUGAAAGUUUAUAUAUAUAAAAUGAAUUUACAAAUUAAAGCUUUCCCAGUCCCACUCUACUCUACCAAAAAAAGAAAAAAAAGUUACCAUUUUUAAACUGUUGCUUAACGCCACCCCUAUCAACCACCAUAUGUUUCUCUCUCUCUCUCUCUCUCUCUCAUAAAUUCUCCAGAUUUUUUUUUUUAAUUUUCCCUCUCUCUCUAUCUAUCUUCCACGUACAAUCCUAACGUUCUUUCUUUCUUUCUUUCUUUCUUUCAAUAAUGGAGUCGUGUGGAGACAAUCACCUCCCUUCAUCUCCCGACACCGAUGGGACACCAAGAAUGGCCACCGCUGCCUCCUCCGCCGUGCAACGGGCUCUCCGACUUGUCCAGUCGGAUGAGCUUGAGUUAAAGAUUGAAGGUGCUAAAGAUAUUAGAAAGCUUACAAAGACUUCACAAAGGUGUCGCCGACAGUUAUCUGAAGCUGUUUAUAGUCUUGUUUCUAUGCUUUAUGUGCUUGGCUCACGGGACUCUCACGAGUCUGCUCUUCUUGCUCUCCUUAAUCUCGCUGUUCAAGAUGAGAAGAAUAAGAAAAGCAUUGUUGAAGCUGGAGCCUUAGAGCCAAUCAUUGGCUUCCUUCAGUCACAGGAUUUAAACCUACAGGAGUAUGCAACAGCAGCCUUGCUUACUUUAUCUGCUUCUUCCACUAACAAGCCGAUUAUAAGUGCUUCUGGUGCUAUUCCUUUACUUGUGGAAAUCCUUAGGGACGGAAGUUCACAAGCCAAGUUUGAUGCUGUAAUGGCUCUUUCUAAUCUUUCAACACAUACAGAUAAUCUGAGCAUCAUUCUCGAAUCUAAUCCAAUACCUUAUCUAGUUAGUUUACUUAAGACCUGUAAAAAAUCUUCAAAAGUUGCUGAAAAAUGCUGUGUUCUCAUAGAAUCUUUAGUUGGUUUUGAUGAGGGUAGAACAGCUUUGACAUCUGAAGAAGGUGGAGUUCUUGCUGUUGUUGAAAUACUAGAAAAUGGAUCUGUGCAGAGUCGAGAGCAUGCAGUUGGGGCUUUACUGACCAUGUGUCAAAGUGAUCGAUGUAAAUAUAGAGAACCAAUUCUCAGAGAAGGUGUGAUUCCUGGGCUACUUGAGCUUACAGUUCAAGGAACAUCGAAGUCUCAAAUAAAAGCACAAACGCUAUUGCAGUUACUGAGGGAAACUCCUUACCCGAGAUCCGAACUUCAAGCAGACACACUAGAGAAUAUCGUAUGCAACAUUAUCUCACAGAUAGAUGGAGAUGAACAAUCUGGUAAAGCAAAGAAAAUGCUGGCUGAAAUGGUUCAAGUUAGUAUGGAACAGAGCUUGAGACAUCUACAACAAAGGGCUGCUCUGGUAUGCACGCCAAGCGAUCUGCCAAUUAGUAGCUGUACUUCUGAAGUUUCCCUGAAAUGAUUGAUUUUGGGUAUCAAAAUUCUCUUUGCCUUUUUCUUUCUCUCAUGUGGGGUUUGUCAGAUAAAGUUGUCCUUGUUGUAAAAAAAGAAAAAAGAAAGCGAAAAAAAAAAGAAAAUAAAAGAAGAAAAAGGUUAUAGGGAAGAAGAAUGCCAGUCCAGGCCCUAGUGUUGGUAUCAGGUGACUGUUUUCCUUUGAUUGAUCUUUUACCUGAUUGUUUUUGGAGAGAACUUGAGGUCCUGACAUGAGGCGGAGAACAUCCCCACACUGUUCUGGUAAGGAAUUUCCACUGUCAUCAUCAAUGGGUUAGGGAAAAUAUAGGCACCAGAGGCACCUGUUCCCUAAAUCAUUCUACAUAUUGCUGCAAUGAUAAAAUCAUACCACUGCUCUCAUUACAUUUUUGCAUUUCUUUUCUAAAUUUCAAAAGUUUAUUGAUCCCAUGUUUUUUGUUCACAGAACCAGCAGAAUUUUUGAAAUAUUUUGUCUGUUUUGUCAUAAAAGCUCUGUGACAGGAUAAGCUUCAUUUCAUUUCUCAUGGAUGGAUAUCAGAAAAUAUACACAUGAAACAGAACAUGACCCAGAAAUAAAGUCCUUCCACUACUUUACCAACAGUUUCCUUUACUUGAUUAAGACAUUCAUAGUGUUUGAAGAAUGAGACUUAUGGGUAGCCUUGUUUUUAGGUUUGAGCAAGACAGUGAUAGAUUUGGUUUUAGGUUUUCUUCUUUUUUCUUUUUGUUUUUUUGGUUUCGGUUCAGUUUUAAACUUUGACAAUCAAACUAAUUUUAAUGUGGUUUGGUUUUUGUCAAAAGUUCUUCGAUUAAACUCAACCGACUUAUAAAAUUUGAUAUUUUAUUUCAUUAAUUUACUGCAAGAAUAAAUCAUUUUAUUUGGUUCGUUUUAAUUUUAUUUACAUUUUUUAUGAAAAAUUUAGUUAUUUGAUUUUUCAGUGUGAUUCGAUUUUAAUUAUAACCAACUGUUUUGCAUAGCAUUACUUGUUUUCAGGAUUGAUAAGGCUUGAAGUCAGCAUCAAUCUGGUGCUUAUUGAGCUUUUUAUUUCUUGAUUUUUGUUGCUUCCAUUAGUUAUCAAUUCAUUGAUCCAACUUGCUUUUCUGAGGCAGUUGGGCAGCUUUCUGCUUUUGUUUAGGUUUAAGAAUUUUUAAGAAUCAUUUAAAACAUGAUUCCUGAAGUUAGGUAAGAGCAAGUAGAAUUUUCUUUAUUUCUCUUUUUUAUUGUAUACCUGCUACUGCCCAAGAGAUAAUUAUGAGAAUUUAGAAAUUUUGCAA